UUGAAUUUUAUUUAUUUUUAGUUUUCCAGAUAAUGUGGUUCAUGCUGAUGUGAUCAGAGACAUUAUGAUUGAUGCUACAUCCUCUCUUUGUCCAUAGAUCUAGGUUUUUACACAUCGCUGGUACUUGUUAUAUUGUUUGGAUCUGACUGUUCUGCGUAAUCACCAAAAUUAACUGUGACCAGGAUCCAUGCGGGAAACAUGCAGUGUACAGAGAAAUCAGCGCUUUCACAGGCUGAUAGGAGAAAUUUUUGGGUGGGGCCUGCAUGUUUGGAGAGAAUUGUCGUGUCAUAGUGCUAACUAGGAAAAUGUUGAGGAGGUCCUGUUGCGUCCCAUGUUCAAUAUAAGGGGGUGUUAAAAGGGACUCGAAGCAUUUUCAUGUGUCGAUGGCACGAGAGAUCCUCCCGAUACUCUCCUCAAGGUUGACCCAACUAGAUCCUGAUGCGCCAGCGGCACGGGUGGUCAGGCCUGAGCAGCGAGCUCUUCUGCCCCCUCCUCAUUGGAUCGGCGGCCAGGGAGGCCAGAUCGUGUGGCACGAGAGAAGGCUCAUGUGUGAGGAAGGGGAGCAGCAACAUGCGUCGAUUGGGGAAGGGAGGAGCAACGGGUGCCACUGAAGGGAGGGGAGCAGCGGCAAGCGCGGAGGGAGGGGAGCACGGGAGCCCCAAGGGAGGCGGAGCAGCGGCAGGUGGCGUGGAGGUUGGAGAUCUUGGUGAGGACGGCGCGACGCGAGGUCAUGGUGGCAUGUGUCGGAGCAGUGGUAGGUGGCGUGUGCAGGUAAAUAGCAACAUCACUACCUCUUUUAUUAUGUGCAUAUUACAUUUUGAAUAUUUCAAGUAACCAGAUGGACGUGAACAUAUACACAUAAUCCACUUUCCGGUUGAAGCUUAUUUUCUUGCAUGAGUGGUGAAGAAAAUGAGUGACAAGGAUGAUGAGAAUAAAGGGAGUGCAAUGUGGUUAUUGAAGAAGGGCAAGGAAGAGGAAGACACAUGUUAGUCGGGUGAAGUCAGCAGCGAUCGCUAUCAGUGAUGUUAUUGGCCAAAUAGGUUGUCUAAACAUUUUGCUAGGUCUCCCUCAGGGAUGAUGGUGUAACCUUGUUUCAAGUAGAUAAACAGAAGUGGGCUAAAAGAGUGUCAUAUUACAACAGAUCAGUUGGUGUGAAACUAGAUGUUGGACUAAUACGUAAUGUAAUGGGCAUGAAUGCAUUCUUUUGAGGAUUGGUGGUUGCAGCAGCGCCUGAUCAUGGUUAUAAAUCUUUUUGCUGCUAAAAAGACGUUGUCACUUGGAGAAAUAUAUGAUAGGGCCUGAUUGGAGUUUA